rnacentral:lncRNA from 1 species
AGACUAAGGAGAUGAGUUGAAGCGUGGGAAGGUUUGGGUAAGGUCCGUACAAGUCCGUACAGUCCGUACAUGACCGUACACAUGAAGAUGGGUGAAACCUUGACAAGGGUAAAGAAGUUACUUGCGGUAACUUAGGUGAAGGGAAGGAACUUACCUUGAUGCAUCAGACCGUUUAGGGAUAAGGUAGAGCGCGCCUUGACAGGCUGGAACAGCUGGAAAGGCAAGAGCAUCUCGGUCCAAGAUGUUAGAUGCUCCGCGCAUGUGGAGAAGCUAAUUGGCUAGUCCAAAUGAGCUUAUCCUCUCCUGAUUGACCUCACAUGCUUUAGUCUUCUCUUGAUUUCGAAAACCCUUGUAUGCUCACACUAUAUAUUGUAACUCAUGUCCUUAAUGAAAGAUUAGACAGUUCUAAACAACAUCUCAUCCAUUAAUAAAGAUUAGACAGUUCUAAACAAUCUUUCUCUUUACUCAUUUCACUAUGAUUCUCCAUUAGUCUCUAAGUAGUCUCUUAAUCUCUUAUUCUCCUUCUCUAAUCCUUUCUAAACUCAGAUAAUCCUUUACAUUCCUAAAAGUCAUAUGGUAUAAGAGCCAGGUUGAUUGCAAUAUGAGUUCGUGAGUGAUUCUCUUAAGGAUUCAAGUUUGAAACUUUAAGAGAACAAGUGAGUGUGUUUGAGAGUUUCUUGAGAGUUCAAAAGCUCAAGGUGUUUUGUGUGUGUCUUGGUGGUCCGUGGGAGGUUCAUUUGAAGACUCAAGAGUAAAUCUGUGUUCUAGAGAGCAGCGUGGGUUCUCAGUUCAAGAUCUAACCGGUUGAUUCAAGCUGUAGACGUCAAGCUGUUCAAGAUGGAUGGUGGCAUGAAGAUGAAGGUCGCGGUGACAUUCAAAGGAAGCAACUACCUAGUCUGGUCUAGGAUGGUGAAGACUGCUGUGGGAAGCAAGGGUUUGUGGAAGCAUAUCACAUCUGGUGAGGCUCCAAUGGCGAUUACUCAGGAGGGUGAAAAGGAGAGCCCCGAGGAGAGUGUUGUAGAGAAGUGGCAACAAGAAGACAUGAUGGUGAUGUCAGUCCUUCAUGCCUCUUUGGAGCCGGCUAUACUAGAUGCUUAUAGCUACUGUGAGACAGCCAAGGAGCUGUGGGAUACUCUACAGAAAGUGUAUGGAAACACUUCUAACCUGAACCGAGUGUUUGAAGUCAAGAAGGCAAUCAAUGGGUUAACCCAAGAUGACAUGGAGUUCACUAAGCACUUGGGAAGGUUCAGGUCUCUUUGGUCUGAGUUAGAGAUGCUGAGGCCAAGCACGGUUGAUCCAGAGCUUCUAAAUGAGAGACGUGAGCAGGACAAGGUCUUUGGGUUGCUGCUCACGUUGAAUGCAAGUUACAGUGGUCUCAUCCAGCACAUGCUAUGGUCCGAGAAGCUGCCUGACCUUGAAGAGGUGUGUGCUAAGAUACAGAAGGAGCAGGGCUCAAUGGGUUUGUUUGGAGGCAAGGGAGACUUAUCUCUUGCAAAUGCUGUGCAACCUGACCGGGAAGAGCCUCCACAAGCUAACAAAGCUGGUUACAACAAGUAUGAGGAUAGGAAGUUCAAUGGGAAUUGUGAUCAUUGCAAGAAGCAUGGGCACAAGAAGAGUCAGUGCUGGAUACUCCAUCCCCACUUAAAGCCGGCUAAGUUCAUGAAGGAGAGAGAGGCAAAAGCUCACAUGACUGAAGGAUCAAGCAGAGCAGGGCCAUCUAACCGAGGAGCUGAAGUGGAGAACCGUGAAGGAGAUGGAAAGGCUUUGGUGACCUAUACUGGAGCUAUCAACCCCCGAGGCAAUGAUCAAGACUUCAUCAGGAGAUCCGAGAUGGAUGCACUCAUCAAAAUGCUCAAGGAUAAUGGUAACAUUCAUGGGUAUUCAUUUGGUGCUUCUAUGAUUGCUAGAACUAUAGAAAUGACUCCUAAUGUGGCUGAGAUUGCUAGGAUUGAUAGUAAGACUGGAAUUGAGCAUUGCAUUGAUAGAAAUGCUAGGAUGAAUGCAUAUAGAUCACAAAUUAGCAUCUGCCAUAGUGCUAGCAAUACAUCCAAACCAUUGAUUAUAGAUUCAGGUGCAUCUCAUCAUAUGAUUAGUGACACCAACCUGAUUAAGGAUAUAGAACCUACUAAUGGAUGUGUGAUGAUUGCAAAUGGGGAUAAGAUACCUAUUAAGGGAAUAGGAAACUUAAAGCUAUUUGAUAAGAACACUAGAGCAUUUUACAUUCCGGAAUUCACAUCAAACCUACUUUCAGUUAAGAAAUGCACUACUGAUUUGAAUUGCAAUGUUAUAUUCAGUCCUAAUGAUGUGAAGUUUCAGGAUAUUGAGAGCAGCCAAUUGAUUGGAAAAGGAGUUACAAAGGGAGACUUAUACAUGCUUGAGAAGCUUGAUCAUGUUUCCAAUUAUAACUGCUCAUUUACUUCUGCUUCUAGUUUGAAUAAAAAUGCAUUGUGGCAUGCUAGAUUAGGUCAUCCCCAUGAGAGGGCUUUAAACUUGAUGUUACCAGGUGUGGUUUUUGAAAAUAAUAAGUGUGAGGCUUGCAUUUUAGGCAAGCAUUGUAAGAAUGUGUUUCCAAGAACAUCUACUGUUUAUGAAAAUUGCUUUGAUUUGAUUCAUACUGAUGUGUGGACUGCACCUAGUUUUUCUAGAGAUAAUCAUAAGUACUUUGUCACAUUCAUUGAUGAAAAAUCUAAAUACACCUGGUUAACACUCAUUCCAUCAAAAGAUAGGGUGAUAGAUGCAUUCAAGAACUUUCAAGCUUAUGUGACUAACCAUUAUCAUGCUAGGAUUAAUAUUUUGAGAUCAGAUAAUGGAGGAGAGUACACAAGCUAUGCGUUCAAGAGUCAUCUAGAUCACCAUGGAAUCCUUCAUCAAACAAGCUGUCCCUACACACCACAACAGAAUGGUGUAGCUGAGAGGAAGAACAGGCACUUGAUGGAAGUGGCUCGGUCACUGAUGUUCCAAGCUAAUGUACCUAAGAGAUUCUGGAGUGAUGCUGUAUCCACUGCGUGCUACCUAAUCAACAGGAUGCCUACAAAGGUGUUGAAGGAUCAAGCACCAUUUGAAGUUCUGAACAAGCGCAAGCCAUCCUUGGAAUACAUGAGAGUGUUUGGAUGCUUAUGCUAUGUUCUAGUACCAGGAGAGUUGAGGAACAAGCUAGAAGCAAGAAGCAGAAAGGCAAUGUUCAUUGGCUACUCAACAACUCAAAAAGGAUAUAAGUGUUAUGAUCCAGAAGCUAGAAGGGUGCUUGUAUCUAGAGAUGUGAAGUUCAUUGAAAAAAGAGGAUACUAUGAGGAGAAGAAUCAAGAAGAUUUGAAGGAUCUCACAUCAGAUAAGGCUGGAGUCUUAAGAAUCAUUUUGGAAGGUCUCGGUAUCAAGAUGAACCAGGACCAAUCCACAAGAAGUGGAAGACAAGAAGAGAGCUCAACUGCACCAAGUGGAGCUGCUCAAACACCUCACCUUGAUCAUGAGGGGGGAAGUGAACCUGAAACUCAAGAAAAUGGCCAAGAAGGAGUCGGCUUGAGUGAGGAAGGAGGAGAGUUCAACUCAGGUUCUCAUCAUCAAGGUGAGCAAGACCAAGGAGAGGAAGAACAUCAGAGUGAAGCACAAGAACCGCAUACACAAGAUGAGCCGGUUCAAGAGCAAGAACAACCAGUAUUGAGGAGAAGCACAAGGCUGAGAAUGGAUCCUUCCUCUUGGGUAAACACGCGAGUGUACUACAAUGCCCAAGCUGUGGAGCAUCCUUCUCAAGUCGUGUGUUCAUUUGCUCAAUACCCUGAAGAACAUUGCGCCUUCAUGGUUAACUUAGAUGAGAAUUACAUCCCAAGAAGCUAUGAAGAAGCAAUCAUGGAUAAAGAAUGGAAGGAGUCAGUUGGAGCUGAGGCAGGAGCUAUGAUCAAGAAUGAUACAUGGUAUGAGAGUGAGUUACCAAAAGGGAAGAAGCCUGUGACUAGUAGAUGGAUAUUCACAAUCAAGUAUAAGGCGGAUGGAAAGAUUGAGAGGAAGAAGUCAAGGCUAGUUGCAAGAGGUUUCACUCAAACUUAUGGAGAAGAUUACAUAGAAACCUUUGCACCAGUAGCUAAACUACAUACAAUCCGGAUUGUGUUAAGCUUGGCUGUGAAUCUUGGAUGGGGGUUAUGGCAAAUGGAUGUGAAGAAUGCCUUUCUACAAGGUGAACUUGAGGAUGAAGUGUAUAUGCAUCCACCUCCAGGCCUUGAACACUUAGUGAAGAGAGGAAAUGUGUUGAGAUUGAAGAAAGCUAUCUAUGGGCUGAAGCAGUCACCAAGAGCUUGGUACAACAAGCUUAGCACUACUCUCAAUGGCCGAGGCUUCAAGAAGUCUGAACUAGAUCACACUCUAUUCACACUCACCACCCCCUCAGGUAUGAUUGCACUCCUUGUGUAUGUUGAUGAUAUCAUUAUCACAGGAAGUGAUAAGGAGGGUAUCAUAGCAACCAAGGAGUUCCUUAAAUCCAUGUUUGAGAUUAAAGACUUGGGAGAAAUGAAAUACUUUCUUGAAAUUGAGAUAUGUAGAUCCAAGGAAGGUUUGUUCAUGUCCCAAAGGAAGUAUACACUUGAUCUUUUGAAAGGUGCAGGUGCUUAUGGAGGCAAGACAGCAAGGAUGCCUAUGGAGGAUGGCUACAAAGUCCCACGAGAGGGGGAGAUUGAAGACAGCAAACCUUAUCAGGAUCCUAAACUCUAUAGAAAACUAGUUGGCAAAUCGAUUUAUCUUAUCAUAACUAGACCUGACAUUUGUUUUGCUGUGAAUCAGGUGAGUCAACACAUGCAAGUGGCUAAGGAACGUCACUGGCGCAUGGUAGAGAGGAUCUUGAUGUACCUCAACGGCUCACCUGAUCAAGGAGUAUGGAUGGGCUGCAAUGGAAGCACUGAAGUGGUGGGAUACUGUGAUGCGGAUUGGGCUGGAGAUAGAGCAGACAUGAGAUCAACCACAGGCUAUUGCACAUUCAUUGGAGGCAACUUGGUGACUUGGAAGAGUAAGAAGCAGAAGGUGGUGUCUUGCUCAAGUGCAGAAGCUGAGUAUAGAGCUAUGCUGAAGCUCACCAACGAGUUAGUGUGGAUCAAAGGCAUCUUGAAGCAUUUGGAGAUUGAUCAAGCCACGCCAAUGACCAUGCAUUGUGACAACCAAGCCGCCAUCCACAUUGCCUCCAACUCGGUGUUCCAUGAGAGAACCAAGCACAUUGAAGUUGAUUGCCACAAGGUGAGGCAGAUGAUCAUCUUAGGAGUCAUCUUGCCAUGCUACACAAGAAGUGAAGAUCAGUUAGCGGAUGUGUUCACCAAGGCUGCAAGGCAGAAGACAAUGGAGUCCAUUCACAUAAGGCUGGGCCUCAUUGAUCUUGGGAAGAGAAGGAGCUGAUCCCCUUGGCUGUGAGGUCUUUACUCUUAUUCCCUUAUCAAGGUUUUAUCCCAAUGGGUUUUCCUUGGUAAGGUUUUUAAUGAGGAAGAUCUCAUAGCUAUCCAAGCUUAGACUUUCACAAAGCUAAGCUUGAGGGGGAGUGUUGAGUUGAGUUGAGUAUAUGUGUGGAGCAAGUGAGGAGUUGAGACUAAGGAGAUGAGUUGAAGCUUGGGAAGGUUUGGGUAAGGUCCGUACAAGUCCGUACAGUCCGUACAUGACCGUACACAUGAAGAUGGGUAAAACCUUGACAAGGGUAAAGAAGUUACUUGCGGUAACUUAGGUGAAGGGAAGGAACUUACCUUGAUGCAUCAGACCGUUGAGGGAUAAGGUAGAGCGCGUCUUGACAGGCUGGAACAGCUGGAAAGGCAAGAGCAUCUCGGUCCA